GAGAGAAGGAAGUGAGAUUGGGAGGAAUAUACAUAAUAUGCAACAUCAAACCUGAGUUGAAAUGGAUUGAUUUGCAUUUGAUUUCCCUACCGGAGAAAAUAGGAUAGACUGGUGCAACAAUGUUCAUUCAGGUUUUCUACCAAGUUUGCUCUUCCUUCCAACUCGUGGCAAGCUUCCCUGUCCAUCCUGAAGAAAAGCAUCCACACGCCACAGUGCUGUCAUAUUUUACUGUGGAUGAUGAAAACUACAAAGUGGAAGUCCCAUGGCCUGGUUUCAGCAGUGGCUUUCUUCUUCCUAAUCUUCCAUAAAGGCCAUAUUUCUAAAAGGCGCUACAAAUGGCAAUCAGCAAAUUCUCCCAGAGUUGUGGAUCUCUGCAGCUCCUCCUGAGUUACCACGGCUCCUUCUCUUUUUAAUCCUCUUUGAGUAACCAUGGCAUAAUAUUGAAGCUGUGCCAGAUGCAGGUGAAUUGUAUGCCACACUUUUCAGAUUUUAUUGUUAAAGUGAAAACCACGUACCAUUUUGUUAACACCAUAUGCACAACUUUUUGGGGGCGUCUCCCAAAAAUACAAAGAAAUUAUAUUGAACAUUGUGACGAAAUGAGAGAUUCAUAGUAGGAUAAAUACUUUUACUAUCAAAUGUACAAAAACAUUCUCACAAUCUAACUUAUUAUUUGAUUGCUUAAGAUCAGCUGACAGCCUCCCACUCUGAUUUAAACACACACUGAUGUUAUUG